rnacentral:tRNA from 1 species
GCGGGUAUAGUUUAAUGGUUAAGAAUGGUAGCCCUUCAAGCUACGGAUAUGAGUUCAAUUCUCGUUACCCGCACCA